rnacentral:rRNA from 1 species
AGAGUUUGAUCCUGGCUCAGGACGAACGCUGGCGGCGUGCCUAACACAUGCAAGUCGAACGGAGUUGAAAAGAGCUUGCUUUUUUCAACUCAGUGGCGGACGGGUGAGUAACGCGUGAGUAACCUGCCUUUCAGAGGGGGAUAACGUUCUGAAAAGAACGCUAAUACCGCAUAAGAUUGUAGCUUCGCAUGGAGCAGCAAUCAAAGGAGCAAUCCGCUGAAAGAUGGACUCGCGUCCGAUUAGAUAGUUGGCGGGGUAACGGCCCACCAAGUCGACGAUCGGUAGCCGGACUGAGAGGUUGAUCGGCCACAUUGGGACUGAGACACGGCCCAGACUCCUACGGGAGGCAGCAGUGAGGGAUAUUGGGCAAUGGGGGAAACCCUGACCCAGCAACGCCGCGUGAGGGAUGACGGUUUUCGGAUUGUAAACCUCUGUCCUCUGUGAAGAUAGUGACGGUAGCAGAGGAGGAAGCUCCGGCUAACUACGUGCCAGCAGCCGCGGUAAUACGUAGGGAGCAAGCGUUGUCCGGAUUUACUGGGUGUAAAGGGUGCGUAGGCGGAUUGGCAAGUCAGAAGUGAAAUCCAUGGGCUUAACCCAUGAACUGCUUUUGAAACUGUUAGUCUUGAGUGAAGUAGAGGUAGGCGGAAUUCCCGGUGUAGCGGUGAAAUGCGUAGAGAUCGGGAGGAACACCAGUGGCGAAGGCGGCCUACUGGGCUUUAACUGACGCUGAGGCACGAAAGUGUGGGUAGCAAACAGGAUUAGAUACCCUGGUAGUCCACACUGUAAACG